CUAUCUACAGGCUUAACACAUGCAAGUCGAGGGGCAGCAUGGUCUUAGCUUGCUAAGGCCGAUGGCGACCGGCGCACGGGUGAGUAACACGUAUCCAACCUGCCGUCUACUCUUGGACAGCCUUCUGAAAGGAAGAUUAAUACAAGAUGGCAUCAUGAGUCCGCAUGUUCACAUGAUUAAAGGUAUUCCGGUAGACGAUGGGGAUGCGUUCCAUUAGAUAGUAGGCGGGGUAACGGCCCACCUAGUCUUCGAUGGAUAGGGGUUCUGAGAGGAAGGUCCCCCACAUUGGAACUGAGACACGGUCCAAACUCCUACGGGAGGCAGCAGUGAGGAAUAUUGGUCAAUGGGCGAGAGCCUGAACCAGCCAAGUAGCGUGAAGGAUGACUGCCCUAUGGGUUGUAAACUUCUUUUAUAAAGGAAUAAAGUCGGGUAUGCAUACCCGUUUGCAUGUACUUUAUGAAUAAGGAUCGGCUAACUCCGUGCCAGCAGCCGCGGUAAUACGGAGGAUCCGAGCGUUAUCCGGAUUUAUUGGGUUUAAAGGGAGCGUAGAUGGAUGUUUAAGUCAGUUGUGAAAGUUUGCGGCUCAACCGUAAAAUUGCAGUUGAUACUGGAUAUCUUGAGUGCAGUUGAGGCAGGCGGAAUUCGUGGUGUAGCGGUGAAAUGCUUAGAUAUCACGAAGAACUCCGAUUGCGAAGGCAGCCUGCUAAGCUGCAACUGACAUUGAGGCUCGAAAGUGUGGGUAUCAAACAGGAUUAGAUACCCUGGUAGUCCACACGGUAAACGAUGAAUACUCGCUGUUUGCGAUAUACGGCAAGCGGCCAAGCGAAAGCGUUAAGUAUUCCACCUGGGGAGUACGCCGGCAACGGUGAAACUCAAAGGAAUUGACGGGGGCCCGCACAAGCGGAGGAACAUGUGGUUUAAUUCGAUGAUACGCGAGGAACCUUACCCGGGCUUAAAUUGCAGAUGAAUUACGGUGAAAGCCGUAAGCCGCAAGGCAUCUGUGAAGGUGCUGCAUGGUUGUCGUCAGCUCGUGCCGUGAGGUGUCGGCUUAAGUGCCAUAACGAGCGCAACCCUUGUUGUCAGUUACUAACAGGUCAUGCUGAGGACUCUGACAAGACUGCCAUCGUAAGAUGUGAGGAAGGUGGGGAUGACGUCAAAUCAGCACGGCCCUUACGUCCGGGGCUACACACGUGUUACAAUGGGGGGGUACAGAGGGCCGCUACCACGCGAGUGGAUGCCAAUCCCCAAAACCUCUCUCAGUUCGGACUGGAGUCCGCAACCCGACUCCACGAAGCUGGAUUCGCUAGUAAUCGCGCAUCAGCCACGGCGCGGUGAAUACGUUCCCGGGCCUUGUACACACCGCCCGUCAAGCCAUGGGAGCCGGGGGUACCUGAAGUGCGUAACCGCGAGGAGCGCCCUAAGGUAAAACUGGU
rnacentral:rRNA from 1 species